GUUACAGUAACUGUGUCAGGAGCUGACAGCUCUUCAUCUCCUGUGUGGUUGAUUGUUGGACUGGUUUGUGGAGUCUCUCUCAUUAUUAUUCUCCUGCUCUUGUUGUAUCGCUGCAGACAGUCCAAGUAUUCCUGCUUCACCAGGUCGAUUCAGUCUGAGAGUCACAGUCCGGGCUCCUCCACAAAUCAUGGAGUCAACCAGGAUGAAACUCAUGAAUACAACUCUCUUCAUCCUGGAGCAGAUGACCCCAGAGAUGUCACAUACUCUCUUAUUGAACUUAAAACCCUUGGAAAGAAGAGGAAGCAUCAUAAACCAGAGCAGAGUGCUGUUUACUCUGAGGUGAAGACGGGAGCUGCAGAGGACAGUCUGAUGGUCAAACGCCCCAAAAAAGAAAAAGCCAAGAAAAAAGCAGGAAGAUCAAGUCCUGCAGCUGAUGCAGCAGUUUAUUCUGAAGUCACAUUAGGAAGCUUUCCUGGUCAGUGAGGAGAGCUGCAGCAGCAAAGCCAAAAAGAAGCAUUUUAUGAAUCCACUGUUGCUCCUCUGCUGCCCAAAUAUCAGACAUGCUCAGUCUUUAGUUUUAAAGAUAUUGAAUAAUAAUAUGAUAAAGAUUUGGCACUGUAUUUUAGUAUAAAGCACACAGAGGCGUGUCCUGUUUCAGAUCCAUGUUCUUUUUGUUCAGCUGGUAUUUUGUAUUCAUUGUUGAGCUUUUGUAUCAAACUUUGGCUGUGUCCUAUACCAACAGCAGUGAGAAAAAAGUUUGUGAUUUUUAGUAGCUGAUAGCAGUAACUUAAAUUCAGCAGAGUUACAUUAGUGCUGGUAUUUACACCAACAAAUACUUACUGAGUUUAAAGAUCUGCAUCACGUAAAAAUGAAAUAUUUGGUAUAAAACAUGAAAAAGCUCUGGCUGCUUCACGAUUCAUUUAAUGUCAUACUUUUAGUGAAGCUGUGCAUUUUAUCUUUUAUUUUAUUUUAUUUAAAUAAAUCUAACCUUGACUUCA
ensembl:lncRNA